AGUGAACGCUGGCGGUAGGCCUAACACAUGCAAGUCGAACGGCAGCACAGUAAGAGCUUGCUCUUACGGGUGGCGAGUGGCGGACGGGUGAGGAAUACAUCGGAAUCUACUUUUUCGGGGGGGAUAACGUAGGGAAACUUACGCUAAUACCGCAUACGACCUACGGGUGAAAGCAGGGGAUCUUCGGACCUUGCGCGAUUGAAUGAGCCGAUGUCGGAUUAGCUAGUUGGCGGGGUAAAGGCCCACCAAGGCGACGAUCCGUAGCUGGUCUGAGAGGAUGAUCAGCCACACUGGAACUGAGAAACGGUCCAGACUCCUACGGGAGGCAGCAGUGGGGAAUAUUGGACAAUGGGCGCAAGCCUGAUCCAGCCAUACCGCGUGGGUGAAGAAGGCCUUCGGGUUGUAAAGCCCUUUUGUUGGGAAAGAAAAGCAGCAGGUUAAUACCCCGCUGUUCUGACGGUACCCAAAGAAUAAGCACCGGCUAACUUCGUG
rnacentral:rRNA from 1 species